AACGGCCGUACCAUGCUGAAUAUACCGGUUCUCGUUAGAUCACCGAAGUUAAGCAUCAUUGGGCGCGGUCAGUACUUGGCCGGGUGACCACCUGGGAACACUGCGUGCCGUU
rnacentral:rRNA from 1 species